rnacentral:tRNA from 1 species
GCCCCCUUAGCUCAGUGGUAGAGCACUUCCAUGGUAAGGAAGGGGUCUACGGUUCAAUCCCGUAAGGGGGCUCCG